UAUAUUAUUAUAUAUAUGACAAAGAAAGAAAGAAAAGAAACAGAGAGCAAAACAAAACAGAGAAGGGAGAAAGAAAGAAACAGAGAGCAAAACGAAACAGAGAAGGAAGGAAGGAAAGAAAGAAAGAAAAGAAAAGAAAAAGGGAAAUUUGGGGUUUUAAGGUUCAAAGUAAUUUGAUCAAGAAGUACGAAACUCGAGGUUAGUCAAAGGGAAGAAUAAAGUUGAAGACUAAGUUGGUGAAUUUGGCUAUAAUUGGUACCGAGGUAAGUUUACGGUAAAUAAAUGCAAUAUUUUAAUAUUUAUUAUUAAUGCUGUUAAUUUCCAGCAAUUAUGAAUUUAUUUUAUGAAUUUAUUUGAUGAUGAUCCGAGCAUGAAAUGAUAGAGAAUUAAAAUUUAAAAGUCCCGUUGAUACAUAAGGAUGGUACUGGAUACGAAUGUCAUGACAUUUGGCUAAAGAGAUCCCAUGUAAGACCAUGUCUGGGACAUGGCAUUGGCAUCCUUAAGAUCAUGAGAGGUCCCCUGUAAGACCAUGUCUGGGACAUGGCAUGGGCACCGAGACGAGAGGUCCCAUGUAAGACCAUGUCUGGGACAUGGCGUUGGCACCGAGAUGAGAGGUCCCCUAUAAGACCAUGUCUGGGACAUGGCAUGGGCACCAUCACGAGAACAUCCCAUGUAAGACCAUGUCUGGGACAUGGCUUUGGCAUGUUAUUAUCAGAAGAGACCCGAGUAUCCUUAUUAUUCCAAUGUAGUUCAACGGGCUUGUAAACGAAUCAUGUUCAUGAAAGUUCAGUUUAAAGCAUAAAUGGCAAGCUCAGGUAAGUUGUAAGACUUAAGAACUUAUUAUACUAUCAAUUGAUGUUCAACGAUGCAGCAAGGAUUGAGUAAGUUAUGCACACAAAUAUUCUAAGUAAACAAGUAAGAGAACUAGUAUGAGAUUAACUAAAGAGUAAACUAGAGAUAUAGACAUUGAGUUUAAUUAUUUAAGUUAAAUAUUGUUAUUUAUUUGCUAGUAAACUUACUAAGCUUUAUGCUUACUUCUUUUAUUUCUCUUUCUCUUAUAGUAUUGCAAAGCUACUUCAAGGAUCCUAAAGAAGUCGGAGAUCAUCCACACUAUCAACUACAACUGCUCGGUAUUUUAUAUCGAAACACGUUUAAGUUAUGGCAUGUAUAGGGAUUUAGUUAUUUUGUAUGUUUGUAGUGAUGAUUUUGCUAAUGAGUGAUGUGUAAGUAUUUGAUGAUGUAUGGUUAUUAAAAUGAUUAAGGAUGAAGGUGUUUGUUGUUAUGAAAGAUUAGGUGAUAAAUU
rnacentral:lncRNA from 1 species